GUGCUCGCUUUGGCAGUACACAGACUAAAACUGGAACGAUACAGAGAAGAUUAGCAUGGCCCCCGUGGAAAGAUGACACGCAAAUUAGUGAAGUGUUCCAUAUUUAA
ensembl:snRNA U6 U6 spliceosomal RNA